GCCGGGAUAGCUCAACGGUAGAGCAACGGUUUUGUAAACCGUAGGUUGGAGGUUCAAAUCCUCUUCCCGGCU
rnacentral:tRNA from 1 species